UGGUUCCUCUCCUCCUCCUGGUUCCUCUCCUCCUCCUGGUUCCUCUCCUCUCCUCCCUGUGUUCUUGUCUCUUUCUUCUUUCUGUUCUCUGGUUCUCCUGGUGGUUCUGAUUUUCCUGGUGAGACGAUGUGUUCGUAGGAAACAUGAAGCUGUUGAAGACGUUGUCAGAGAUGACAUCACGUACAGUGACGUCAAAAUAUCAAGGAACAAGAAACAGCUGAAGAGACAGAGCAGAGACAGUGAUCCAGCUGCAGUCUACUCAGCAGUGAGAACAACACAAGACGUCACUUAUGGACAAAUAUUCAUCAGAGACAAGAAACACAAGUCAAAGACCAGAGACAGUGAUCCAGCUGCAGUCUACUCAGCAGUGAGAACAACACAAGACGUCACUUAUGGACAAAUAUUCAUCAGAGACAAGAAACACAAGUCAAAGACCAGAGAGAGAGAUCCAGCUGCAGUGAGAACAGAGAACGUCACUUAUGGACAAAUAGCCACCAGACCAAAAAAGAUCAAAGGUUCAGCGGUUCCACCACAACCAGAAGUCGUCUACUCUUCACUGAAGUAGUCCACCCGUCCCCCCACUGAUGUCCAGCUGCUGGACUCUGACUGGUCCCCUCAGUCCCUCAGACCAUAGAAGGCCUGUGGAAAGAUUUUUAUCUGUUUCAGGUCUUUCUAAAUUUUGACUCCCUGAAUUUGGUUUUAUGAAAGUCACACUCCUGACACAGUUGUAAACCUGAAUCUCCCACCCACUGCAUAUUACUGAAUGAACUCCUUCUGUGUUCUAUCUACAGAGGAGAUUAACGGCUUUUCAAUGGCACCAAAUGUGAAGGUGUUUCCUGGUAGUCAAGAGGAUAGAACUUUUCUUAAUGUCUGAGAAGCUGUUUAUUUUGCAUUGCUGUCACUGCUUCCUGUUUAUCUGUAGUCAUUUGCUGUUUCAUUUUUUUUGUUUUGUUUGUUUGUUUGUUUGUUUGUUUUUAACCCUCAUACCUGAUUUUAAAAUUGUUAGGUUGUUACCAUUAAGGGACAAAACAUAUUUUUUUCC